UGCGAGAAGGGGGACUCGAACCCCCAUGGCCUGAGCCACUGGAUCCUAAGUCCAGCGCGUCUACCAUUUCCGCCAUUCUCGC
rnacentral:tRNA from 1 species